UACGUAGGUGACAAGCGUUGUCCGGAUUUACUGGGCGUAAAGAGCGCGCAGGCGGUCGUCAAGUCGAGUGUGAAAGCCCCCGGCUCAACUGGGGAGGGUCAUUCGAUACUGAUCGACUCGAAGGCAGGAGAGGGUAGUGGAAUUCCCGGUGUAGUGGUGAAAUGCGUAGAUAUCGGGAGGAACACCAGUGGCGAAGGCGACUACCUGGCCUGUUUCUUGACGCUGAGGCGCGAAAGCUAGGGGAGCAACGGGG
rnacentral:rRNA from 1 species